UCAGACUCGUUGAAAUAUUGUCACAAGAGUUAAAUCCCUAAGCUUAAUUUCUCCUUUUAUCAGUACCACAAAGCCUCCAUUUUUUCACCACUUGUCGGCAACAAAAAUUUCAACGACGCAAACAUUCAAAGCUCUGAAUUCAAAUCUAUUCAAAAUGUCAUCACUGAAUCUGAUUCCACCUCUGUCACAACGAUUUUUUUGCUGCCGAUUAUGUUGCAAUGUCGCCAUCAGAUGUGUUGCAUGACGCUCGUCGAGGAUUUUAACCGCCACCACUGACGAUGGUCACAACACUACCGGCGACCGGCAAGGCUAGAUCCACGUGCACUGCAGCUUGGGCGGCCAGAUCUACAAGAUUCGGUGAGCGACAGAGUUAGAUCUACGAGAUUUGACGGUAUUGUUGCAACCUCUGUGCCUUACUCAUUUCACAAAAUGUCACUCCUCUUCUUCACAACAGGUUUGUUAUGACGAAACUUUGAUAAGUUUUUUUUUUUUUUUUUUUUUUUUUUUUUUUUUUUUUUUUUUUUAUAAAUCUUCAUAUAAUUAUUUACGUGGUUAUUUAUGGUGUUUGCAUCUUACUCCAUCUUUGCUACUGAUUUCGUGUUAAAGGUUUAAUAAAAAUUAGUGAAUAACCUAAAGUCAAUUGUGAUUUUUUUAUUUAUAAUUUUUAAGAUUUGUAAAUAAUGUUAGAUAUAGAAAUAUUGUGAAUACCUUUCUGAUGCACCAAAUGUUUUCUUAUUUGUUAUAAUACUUGUAUAAAAUAUUAAGUUAUGAAUCGAAAUUUGUUUUCUUAUUUGUUAUAAUGUUUUCCUAAAAUUGGUGUUUAUAACUUAUUUUUAUGGUUUUUAUAUCGUGAAUUAAGUUUAGAAUGUGUGUUAUUAUGUCAGUGUUUUCUCGAAAGAGAACAAAUAUAUUAAUUUAGGUUUUUUAAUUGUGAUUUUUAUGUUUAAAUGUUUCAAUUAUUGUCUUAAGCUGUGAAUUUGAAACAUCCAAAAAUCAUGAUAAAAAAUUCCGUUUUUAAUUAUUAAUAAAACCAUAAGUAUCAAAUCAACACAUAAAGUCAUAAGUCAUUGUAUCUCAAAAACAUCAUAAACAUCUAUCAACAUAUCAGAGUAGAAACAUCCCAGGCUAAAAUCAUGGUGUGUGCACUUCUGUCAUCUUGAGUUCUUCCCUUUGCUACCGGAAGUACCUGAAACCAAAACUAAAAACUGUAAGCACGAAGCUUACUGAUUCUUCCCAUACUACUAAAUACCAUACACAUAAUCACAUAAUCACAUAAUAAAAUAUCAUGGACCUUGCCCGCUACAUCGGGCCCCGCCCGACAUCGGACCGAAUUCCAGUAUACAUAUAAACAUAUCAACAAAUAAAUAUAAAUAUAGUUACAUAACAUAAACAUAUAAACAUUCUUCGGGCCCUACCCCACAUCAGACAGAAAUCUGGAAGCAUACAAUCAUUCAUCGGGCUUUUCCUGGCAUCGAACCGAAGUCCGAAAACAUAUAAAACAAGCACACGCAAGAAUCAUGAAGAUAUCAAGCAUACAAACAAAUCCUCGUGCUUGCCCCGACAUCAGACUGAAGUCCGGAAACAUAUAAACCUACAUCGGAUACUGCCCGACAUUGGACCCUAGUCCGGAAUAUACUAACAUACAUAAAUGGGCCGACAUUGGUGCCUUAGACUUGUUCUUAUAGGAGAAAACUCACCUCACACUACUGAAUUCCCGCAAAUAAAUCUCUGGCUGCCGGCUGACAGAUCCUCGAACUGUCAACAUCAAAAGAAAACCUAAUUAACCAUUUGGGUUUCACUGCAUAACCAUAAACCCACACUUGAGGGUAAAAGGACCAUUUUACCCCUAACCUAGCUUGAUCCAAGAUUAAGGCCCAAACUCAUUUUCUGAAGGCCUAAAAGUCAAAUAAUGAUCUAAGGCCCACAUAUGGCCCAAUUUUCGAAAUUAGGCCCACACCCCUCACAUGGGCAUUACCCUAAAGCCCUUCCAAAUAUUCUAGUCCAUAUACUUGUUCUUGGAUGGUCCAUCAAUAGCCCAAUCAACAAAGCCCAAAAGAAAGGCCCACCUCAAGGCCUAAACAAAAUUAGGGUUUUCACAUAAAAUGACAAUUAGGGUUAAGUGUUCUUACUUAACCCAUUAAGGACUUAAUGCAUUAAGUCCAUCACUCCACUAGACCAAUCAUACCAUGUGGCGGGCAUAAGCCAUAGAUUCAAUCCAAUGGUCCAAAAUGCGGGUCUCGGCAAGUCCAAACUAAAAUAUCCAAGAUUAGGGUUUUCUAAACCCUAAUUAGGGUUUCCAACCCAAUCACAAGCUAACUAAGCCCAUGAUUAAGCUAUUGGGCCGAUUAGGGUUUCAUUAUGUCGAUCACCACAUACUACCACCUCGGGCGGUGGUGGUCCAUGGCUGUUCACGGCGGCAGCCACCACCUCAUGGUGGUGGUGGUGGUGAUCUUCUUCACUUUUGACUAUGAAAAACUGAUAUAACAUUCAAAAUUACACACACAUAAUAUGGACACACACAACCACCUCCCACGGUGGUUAGUGACGGCAAUUGCUUGCAGAAAAUGACAGACACCAUGGUUGGCUGCUAUGGUGGUACGCCUCACCUCCGGCUGUCAUUCUUUAUGAUUCUAGCAGCAACACAAGUAAGAAACGAUGUGAAACAACAUCCCUCGGCCACCUACUUGGUGGCUGACAACGUCGAAGUUAGCGAAAACGACGGUUGAGGCCGGCAACGACAGCAAGGGCAUUCCCUACGUCACGCACACCGGAAAGAACGAAGGAGAAGAAUAAAUGGGUUAUAGCUAGCUUACCGAGUGCCUUCGGUCGUUCAUAACUCAAGUAGUGGCAUUCACAGCCUCUUUCGUUUGUCUCGGUUGCUCUUCCGGUUUCUCUUACGUCUUCGGAAGUAGCGUUGAGGUGGCGCUUAUCGGCGAGGCAGUAGGCGACGACCUUGUCUAAUUAGGAAAACAACAAGAAGAGAGGUGGCGGAUGAGGAGGCUCACAUGGUGGCAGUUGAUGAAGAUUAGGUUUAGGGUUCGCAUCUUCCAAACGAGAGGGAAAAGAGAUACGGGGUUAAAACCGUGUCUCAUUUCAAACUUUUGUCCAUAUUUCCAAAAUUAGCCCUUCCUCACAAAAUCUUUUUCAGUUUAAAUCCAAAAUUACCCUUUAGCCCCUGCCACUAUAAAUCCUUUCAUAUUAAGUCCAAAAAUUACCAAUUAGCCACCAACUUUAAUAAUCUAUUACAAUUUAAGUUUCAUAGUUACCAUUUAACCCUCAAUAAUAAAAAAUGUAGCUUUUAACACCCCAAUGUGUAAACCCCGUUAACUAGUACGACUUAGGGCUAAAAUUCAAUACUUAAAAAUACGUCUCGGGGGCUAGGGUUAAUUAUUUAUUUAUUUAUUUAUUUAUUUAAAAAAAAAGGACAUUUAUAGAAUUUUAUGUAUUAAGCUGUGAUUUUUGUGUUUUAAACUAUAAAUUAAUUGCAUUAAACUAUGAAAUUUCUGUUUAAAUUAUAAAUUGACUAUAUUAAGCUGUGAAUUUUUUGUAUUAAACUGUGAAUGCGUUAAGUUGUGAAUUUUGUUUAUUAUAAUGAGAAUUAAUCAUAUUAAGAAAAUUAAAUUGAUAAUAUGGUUAUGAAUUUAUACCAUUUGUGUACUAAAAUGUGAUUUUUUUUUUGUAUAAAUGUGAUUUUUAUGUUUCAAAAUAUGAAUUACCUGUAUUAAGUUGUGCAUUUUUUAUUUAAAAUGUGAAUUGACUAUAUAUUAAGCUAUUAAUUUUGUGUAUUAAACUAUGUUUUUAGUGUAUUAAACUAUGAAUUGACUGCAUUAAGCUAUGAAUUUUCUGUUUGAACUGUGAAUUGACGAUAUUAAGUUAUAACUUUUUAAUGAAUUUUGUGUUAACAUAGAAUGGUUUAACUAUGAAUGUUUGUUUUAAUUUUCUUGUUGAUAUAUUUAUUUUUUGUGUUGUAUAAAUAUGUAAGAGUGAAUUAGUUUUUAUAAUUAUUUUGCAUUGAACUCUAAAUAAGUGAAUUUAUUGGUAUAUUAAAUUGUGAAUAUAGUAUUUGAGUAAUCAAUUAAUGAUUUUAUAUACAUGUCUUAUUAGAAUGAUGAUUGCGACCAUAACAAAUGUGGUUGGUGGUGGCGUAUGGUAGUUGGUGGUGGUAGAGUUUGAAUUUAACUUCUUUAAAUAUGUGAAUUAGUAUAUAAUAGAUUGUAUUAUGUUAUGUUGUGAAUUUUAUAUAUUAAACUAUAAAUUGAUUGUAUUAAAUUGUAUAAUUUAUAUAAAUUUUGUGUUAAAAUAUGAAUAAAUGUAUGCUUAAAAAUAUUAAAUUUUGUAUUAUUGAAUUAAUAUGUUUAUUAAACUGUGAUGAAUGUACUUUAAAUUUAGAAUAUAUCUUAUACACAAUAUAUUUUUUAAACAAACUUACAAUUUAGAAAAAGGAAUAUUGAAUUUGUAAAGACACAUUCUAUUUUUUUUUUUAUUAAAAAUUUCUCUAUUUUAAGUAUUACCAAAGAAAUGUGAACUAUAACGUUUGUUCUAUUAAAUUAUGAACACGAACUCAAAAUUAUCAUUGAAUUUGGUGUUAGUUCGGCAACGGUUCGACGGUGGUUUGGAGGCGGUCCGACUGCAAUCCAACAACAAGUGGCAAUUAAUUGUAAAGUAGGGAAUACAAAAUUUUACUUAAAAUAUUAAUGUUUGAUUUUUCCAAAUUAUUUUAAUGAAAACAUUUUAAAAAAUGAUUCUUAAAGUUCUUAACCUUUUUGGGUUCUCAUUUGAAAUUAAACACGCGUUGGUUUUAAUUAAAAGAUGGGCCUAGUCCAUCUGCUUUACUUAUUCACGCAAAAAACCAAUGACACCUAACUCCGAUCUUGCCUUCUGCCCAACACCGCCUCCUCCCACAAAUUGCAUCGACACUAUCAAUCACUACCAAAGAUAAUCACUAUUGGGAAGGUAUUUUCUACAGGUGGUUGUAUCAUGGAUUACUGGAACCAUGUUGCUUCAUUUCAGCCUUGCAAGUGUCUUAUGUGUUACAGUUCAUCAUGAGACGUAAUUAGAGAGCUAACAAUCUGAAUUUGAUGCUUGCUCAAUCUAGUUUGAAAUUCACCUGGAUAUUCAUUAAGAUGCCAUAAUUUCAUAUAUAAUUCCAUUUCAUCUCAAUGUAUAAAAUGAUGACAAAAAAUCAAUUGUUUGGGCAUCUAUAACGUUUUAAAAGUUUCACAAAAUUUUCUUUAGUCUUCAAUUAUUAGUGGGACAAAAUGAGAAUUGGUAGUGAUGAAGUUGGUGCAAUGGCAGAAUUAAAUGAUAUAGUAACAUGAAUACUCAUUUUUGAAUGUUGAUUUGCAUUGCCUAUCAUGUGUUCGACGAAAGUCCUCUAAGAAUAUAUACAUCUUUCAAGGUAGUUAGGUGUUAUUAUGUCUAUGUAUAAUUUAAUCCCAAAUGUCUGUUUUUGUAUUUCAUCUUUGUACCCAUUUUCAUGAACCACUAAACUAUCCUUUAUAUUCACAAAUGUUUUUUGUGUUCACAAUGCUAAUAAAUGGAUGGAGUGGAAGUAUCUACAUAUGGUUUUGUCUUUAAGUUGUAUUUUGAAUUAGAAGUUGAGCAUUUAUUAACGUCAUUGUAGAAUUUUAUUACAAACUUGCUUAUUUAUUUGCUUGCUUGCUUUAUUUGAAAAAGUCCAUUAUGUUUUCCUAUUGUUGAUGUAUUAUGUGUUGGAUUAGGUGUCUAAGCCCAUAACGAUUUUUGGUAUGUACUUGAUUUUGAUUAUGAGCAUGGUCCUUUUGGGUUGCCUUCACUCAUGCAACUUGAUAGGAUGAAAAGAGGAGAGAGAGUAGAAUUUAUUAUAUGAAUAAUAAAUUCAUCCUCAAAAUGCUUUUAUUAAUAUAUUACAAGAUUAAUAUAUUAUUUGGAAAUCAUAUUAUUUGAUUAAUAUUGAUCAGAAAUGAAUUUGGAAUUAGUUUGGUGGUCAAAAGAUACUGAUUAAAUAAAUAGGACUGAUAUUGUAAUUAUCUAAUAGUUGCUGGUUGGGCUAUGGACUCCCUAUAGAAGACGUUAGACGAAAUCUAUGGGAAGCCCAUAAGGAUUUCGUCCAAGGGGCCUUCUAAAAGGGUUCCAUGGAUUGCUUGAGGCCUAAGCAGAGAAUUAGGGUUUCCACUUGAAACCCUAGCAGCCAAAAAACUUUAAAAAGACCCCUUAGUCUAAGGAAUUCGGCCCUAUGCUUCUUGGAGUUGCCCUAGCCGAUUUCUUCCCCUCUCCUAAGUCAUCUCCUUGCAUUGGGUGUUUGUGACUCAAUUAGAGGUGCAACACUUGGGGCACAAAGGUUUCAAGAGUCAAGAUCAAGAAGGAUUGUGAUUGUUAUUGCUACAUAAUAAUCAAGGUAAGAUCUAAACCCUAAUCAUAUAUGAUUUAUGAUUACUGUAUGCUAGUUCAUAGGUUAUUGCUUUGGUAUUCAAUGUUGUUAUGUUCAUAGUAGAAAACCUAGAUCAAAGCAAUUAGUGUUCAUGAACACCAUAGGAAUGAUGUUAUCUCCAACUCCCACCUGUGGUAUCAGAGCCUAGGUCAUUUUCUAGUGAAUGGAUGCAAAAGUGAACUGCCAAAGACAAGAAAAUCGAAAAUUUUAGCUUCUGACUGGCUGACUCGUCAAGUCCAUGAAUGGACUCGACGAGUUGCAUGAACUCAACGAGUUCCAUAGUGGACUCGAUGAAUCCAAGGGGUCUGGUGCCAGGAUUUUCGAUUUUGGCCAGAUUUUGUUGAGGAUAAUUACCCAAACUCGUUUUUCUUGACAAAAUUUAAUUUUUUAAGUUUGGUAUGGUUAUCCUUAUCAAAUUUAGUGGAUUUGGUUAAAUAUGGAUAAUAUAGGAUUAUUAUGAUUCAAAUAUAUGACCUAGUAAUUUAGAAAAGUUUCAAAUUACACCCGUUAGGUUUUAUAGUUUAAAUUCGAACUUAAAAGUUUUUGUUUUUGAAUUUUAAAUAGUUAAACCCUAAUGUUUUGAGAAGUUUCAAAACAUGUCCUCAAGUUUUGGAAUUUAAAAUUUAAUUAAAAAGUACUAAUUUUGAAAUAUUAAAUUCUAAACCCCUAGUAUUUUGAAUAGUUCAAAUUACACCCUUAUGGUUUUAUUAAAUUAAUUAAGUGUUUAAUUAAAAGAGAGAAUUAAUAAAUCCAUAGUUAUAUGAUUUAAGUUUAAUCGAAUUAAAAGUCUAAUUUAUUAAUAUAACCACUUAGUAUAUUAAAAGUAUAAAAUACACCAUUAUCUAUAUAAAAUUAAAAGUCUAAUAUACUAUAUAUGAUUAAGUAAAAGGUCAAUCUUACCGUUAGUAGGCCUCAUCCACGAAGCUGGUCUCUAAGGUGUGUUUAGUAAAAUUACUUAUAAAAUGGCGAUUGAAUGGGUAUCUACUCUUACCUACCACACUCUUGACUAGUGGAGGGUCGUUAGCCGAACAGGUAGGAUAGGGCACAACCUUCCAUUAUAAGUAUAACGAAAUACAAAGUAACUAAACACUUUUAUAAAUUCCCAAAUCAUAGUUACUUUAGGAAAAAUAUGGAGUUGGUGCUAAUCCAUGAAAUUGCACAUUACACCUUGUUGGUCGUUAGUGGAGCGUGUGUGGUUAAUAGACACACUAAUAUGGGACCAAUGAAGGAUGGCAAUGGGUAGCUGGUAGUUUAUCAUAGAUCAAUGGAGCGUGUGUGGUUAACCCGCACAUUGAUUAGGUGAUGAACAUCUUCGAGAGUACUAAGCUAAUUUGCAUGGUUAUCCACACCUUAUUUGUGAUCCCCGGCAUCCAAGUCAGAAACAUGAAGGGCAUAAUCGAGAUUAAACAUGCCAUUGAAAAGUUCAAUGAAUCUCUUUCAAUUCAUUUAAAACUUAAUUUUCGUUUUUAAUGGUGGAAAUUAGUAAAUCGUCAUUUACCUACCUUCAAAUAUUCUGCAGCUGGAUUACGGCAUCCCUCUUUCGAGUUAUAGAAUAUUGUGUUGGGUCCUAGCCUUGAUAUUUCAUUUGAGUGAUAUAUUAAGUACUCAAUCAACUAACUUGAAUUUCUCCCGUUUUGUAGAUGUCGAAAUCUAAACACUAUGGUCUUCCC
rnacentral:lncRNA from 1 species